AAUGGGGGCAACCCUGAUCCAGCCAUUCCGCGUGAGUGAAGAAGGCCUUCGGGUUGUAAAGCUCUUUCGGCCGGGAAGAAAUCGCAUCUCCUAAUACGGGGUGUGGAUGACGGUACCGGAAGAAGAAGCACCGGCUAACUCCGUGCCAGCAGCCGCGGUAAUACGGAGGGUGCAAGCGUUAAUCGGAAUCACUGGGCGUAAAGCGCACGUAGGCGGCACGUUAAGUCAGCUGUGAAAGCCCUGGGCUCAACCUGGGAAUGGCAGUUGAUACUGACGCGCUCGAGUCUGAGAGAGGGGGGUGGAAUUCCAGGUGUAGCGGUGAAAUGCGUAGAUAUCUGGAGGAACACCGGUGGCGAAGGCGGCCCCCUGGCUCAUGACUGACGCUGAGGUGCGAAAGCGUGGGGAGCAAA
rnacentral:rRNA from 1 species